UGACGGUAUCUAACCAGCAAGUCACGGCUAACUACGUGCCAGCAGCCGCGGUAAUACGUAGGUGGCAAGCGUUACCCGGAUUUAUUGGGCGUAAAGGGAACGCAGGCGGUUUUUUAAGUCUGAUGUGAAAGCCUUCGGCUUAACCGGAGAAUAGCAUUGGAAACUGGAAGACUUGAGUGCAGAAGAGGAGAGUGGAACUCCAUGUGUAGCGGUGAAAUGCGUAGAUAUAUGGAAGAACACCAGUGGCGAAAGCGGCUCUCUGGUCUGUAACUGACGCUGAGGUUCGAAAGCGUGGGUAGCAAACAGGAUUAGAUACCCUG
rnacentral:rRNA from 1 species